AAAUGCUUCUUUUCUUAAGGACAAGCUGUGAUGGGGAGGGAAAUAAUAGUACCGAAGUUCCUGAUGUCACACUGCCGAGAAAAGCUUCUAGUGAGAAAACAGCGGCCCGUACCGCAAACCGACACAGGUAGUCGAGGAGAGAAUCCUAAGGUGAGCGAGAGAACUCUCGUUAAGGAACUCGGCAAAAUGACCCCGUAACUUCGGGAGAAGGGGUGCUGAUCAUACGAUCAGCCGCAGUGAAUAGGCCCAAGCGACUGUUUAUCAAAAACACAGGUCUCUGCAAAAUCGUAAGAUGAAGUAUAGGGGCUGACGCCUGCCCGGUGCUGGAAGGUUAAGAGGAGUGCUUAGCGCAAGCGAAGGUACGAAUUGAAGCCCCAGUAAACGGCGGCCGUAACUAUAACGGUCCUAAGGUAGCGAAAUUCCUUGUCGGGUAAGUUCCGACCCGCACGAAAGGCGUAACGAUUUGGGCACUGUCUCAACGAGAGACUCGGUGAAAUUUUAGUACCUGUGAAGAUGCAGGUUACCCGCGACAGGACGGAAAGACCCCAUGGAGCUUUACUGUAGUUUGAUAUUGAGUGUCUGUACCGCAUGUACAGGAUAGGUAGGAGCCGUAGAAAUCGGAACGCUAGUUUCGAUGGAGGCGCUGGUGGGAUACUACCCCU
rnacentral:rRNA from 1 species